GUGGGGAAUAUUGGGCAAUGGGCGAAAGCCUGACCCAGCAACGCCGCGUGAAGGAAGAAGGUUUUCGGAUCGUAAACUUCUAUCCUUGGUGAAGAUAAUGACGGUAGCCAAGAAGGAAGCCCCGGCUAACUACGUGCCAGCAGCCGCGGUAAUACGUAGGGGGCAAGCGUUGUCCGGAGUGAUUGGGCGUAAAGGGCGCGUAGGCGGCCCGGUAAGUCUGAAGUGAAAGUCCUGCUUUUAAGGUGGGAAUUGCUUUGGAUACUGUCGGGCUUGAGUGCAGGAGAGGUAAGCGGAAUUCCCGGUGUAGCGGUGAAAUGCGUAGAGAUCGGGAGGAACACCAGUGGCGAAGGCGGCUUACUGGACUGUAACUGACGCUGAGGCGCGAAAGUGUGGGGAGCAAACAGGAUUAGAUACCCGGGUAGUCC
rnacentral:rRNA from 1 species